rnacentral:lncRNA from 1 species
UUUAAAGUCGGUCCCGAACGGAUCAGUUUUAUUAAUACUUAAUGAUUAAGAAGUGUAUUUUAUGUCCGAUAUGAUCCAAAUGGGGGCCAGUUAUUCGUAAUUAUAAAUAGGAUAAUUACUAUUUUAUUUUUCAUAAUUAUCAUUUCAAUACACGAGAAUCGAGAGAAACUGGUAGUUCGUUCUUCGCGUUCUUGAAGUUCAAUCGAAGGUUUGAAGGCGUUAUCGAUCUCAGAAUCAAGCAUACAAGUAGUCCAAUCGAAGGUAUCGACGCGUAGAAUCCAUAUCAAGUCUCAGAAACAGGUAUAGAUUCACCGUUGGGGAGUAAUUUGAGUUUGAAAUUUCGUAUGAAUUAGGGUUAAAUUAGGGUUUUUUGAUUUUGAUGUGUUUUAUGUGAU